AUUGAACGCUUGCGGCAGGCUUAACACAUGCAAGUCGAACGAUGACUAUCUAGCUUGCUAGAUAUGAUUAGUGGCGGACGGGUGAGUAACAUUUAGGAAUCUGCCUAGUAGUGGGGGAUAGCUCGGGGAAACUCGAAUUAAUACCACAUACGACCUACGGGUGAAAGGGGGCGCAAGCUCUUGCUAUUAGAUGAGCCUAAAUCAGAUUAGCUAGUUGGUGGGGUAAAGGCCCACCAAGGCGACGAUCUGUAACUGGUCUGAGAGGAUGAUCAGUCACACCGGAACUGAGACACGGUCCGGACUCCUACGGGAGGCAGCAGUGGGGAAUAUUGGACAAUGGGGGCAACCCUGAUCCAGCCAUGCCGCGUGUGUGAAGAAGGCCUUUUGGUUGUAAAGCACUUUAAGCAGGGAGGAGAGGCUAAUGGUUAAUACCCAUUAGAUUAGACGUUACCUGCAGAAUAAGCACCGGCUAACUCUGUGCCAGCAGCCGCGGUAAUACAGAGGGUGCGAGCGUUAAUCGGAAUUACUGGGCGUAAAGCGAGUGUAGGUGGCUCAUUAAGUCACAUGUGAAAUCCCCGGGCUUAACCUGGGAACUGCAUGUGAUACUGGUGGUGCUAGAAUAUGUGAGAGGGAAGUAGAAUUCCAGGUGUAGCGGUGAAAUGCGUAGAGAUCUGGAGGAAUACCGAUGGCGAAGGCAGCUUCCUGGCAUAAUAUUGACACUGAGAUUCGAAAGCGUGGGUAGCAAACAGGAUUAGAUACCCUGGUAGUCCACGCCGUAAACGAUGUCUACUAGCCGUUGGGGUCCUUGAGACUUUAGUGGCGCAGUUAACGCGAUAAGUAGACCGCCUGGGGAGUACGGCCGCAAGGUUAAAACUCAAAUGAAUUGACGGGGGCCCGCACAAGCGGUGGAGCAUGUGGUUUAAUUCGAUGCAACGCGAAGAACCUUACCUGGUCUUGACAUAGUGAGAAUCCUGCAGAGAUGCGGGAGUGCCUUCGGGAAUUCACAUACAGGUGCUGCAUGGCUGUCGUCAGCUCGUGUCGUGAGAUGUUGGGUUAAGUCCCGCAACGAGCGCAACCCUUUUCCUUAUUUGCCAGCGGGUUAAGCCGGGAACUUUAAGGAUACUGCCAGUGACAAACUGGAGGAAGGCGGGGACGACGUCAAGUCAUCAUGGCCCUUACGACCAGGGCUACACACGUGCUACAAUGGUAGGUACAGAGGGUUGCUACACAGCGAUGUGAUGCUAAUCUCAAAAAGCCUAUCGUAGUCCGGAUUGGAGUCUGCAACUCGACUCCAUGAAGUCGGAAUCGCUAGUAAUCGCAGAUCAGAAUGCUGCGGUGAAUACGUUCCCGGGCCU
rnacentral:rRNA from 1 species